UUGUUCACAACUGUUCACUUCUUACUUCUUAUUUUCGUCGGUUCACACUGAAACUUUCUAGUUGUUCGGUUACCUUAGUUUCUACUGCAUGCGUAGGGUUUCUUAAACUUUAUGGGAUUUUGUACGUGUUCACCUUUGCUCGUUGCUAAUUCGUUAGAUUUUAUUCCAAUCUCAAGAUGAAGAUGUUUCUCAACCUAAUCGAUUGCACGCAAUUUUGAUAAUUUUCAGUUUGUUAACUUCACUGACAAAGUGUUUAAGAAAGCAAGCACCUUGGUUAAAGAAGCUGCUUUUGCUCCCGUUGCUCCUCCGAUGGAGGAAGUCAUUGUUGGAAGUCAUUCUUGGCGUUUUAUUGAUUCUUUUUUUAAUUAUCUACUUGUGUAUUUCCCUCUCGGACAAACAUAAUUGGCCAAAUUAUCUGGACCUUAUCGGAUAUCAGCCGCGAUACCAAAUGGAUAUGUCACAUACACGGUUUCCAGUUCUUGAUUCUCCGCCUGCGUCACGAGCACAUUUUCCUCCUAUGCAAGAUGAGUCACAAAUCCAAAACCAAAUUGUAUGUGAUAUUUGUCAAACAAAGGGAAAAGAAUUGGCCUUUGGAUGUGGUCACAUGGCUUGCAAAAAUUGUGGAUCCAAACUACGCAAUUGUCACAUAUAUAUGUCGUAAAAGGAUCAAAAGUCGUCUUAGGGUGUUUUUAUAAAUUUAAUGAUGUGGCUUUAAGAGUGGUCUUGCAUAAAAAGAUAGUUUGUAUUGCAAAUGAGUUUGAAUUGAUUGAAAUUUAUUUCAAUAGCUAGUCGUAUAGUACUGUUUAUAUUAGCUUGUUCUACUUCUAUUAAAACUUCUGAUCUGUUAUGUU